rnacentral:rRNA from 1 species
AUUGAACGCUGGCGGCAGGCCUAACACAUGCAAGUCGAGCGGAGCGGCGGACGGGUGAUUAAUGCCUAGUAAUCUGCCUGGUAGUGGGGGAGAACGUCCGGAAACGGGCGCUAAUACCGCAUCAUAUCAAGGGAGCGUAGGGCGGAUUAGCUAGUGGGUGGGGUAAAGGCCUACCAAGGCGACGAUCCGUAACUGGUCUGAGAGGAUGAUCAGUCACACUGGAACUGAGACACGGUCCAGACUCCUACGGGAGGCAGCAGUGGGGAAUCUUGGACAAUGGGCGAAAGCCUGACCCAGCCAUGCCGCGUGUGUGAAGAAGGUCUUCGGAUUGUAAAGCACUUUAAGUUGGGAGGCGUUACCCACCGAAUAAGCACCGGCUAACUUCGUGCCAGCCGCCGCGGUAAUUC